rnacentral:rRNA from 1 species
GACGGAAGGUGCAAGCGUUGCUCGGAAUCACUGGGCGUAAAGGGUGCGUAGGCGGCUUGGUAAGUUGGGUGUGAAAGCCCCGGGCUCAGCCCGGGAAGGGCACUCGAAACUGCCGAGCUGGAGUGCCGGAGGGGAGAGUGGAAUUCCUGGUGUAGCGGUGAAAUGCGUAGAUAUCAGGAGGAAUACCGGUGGCGAAAGCGGCUCUCUGGACGGCAACUGACGCUGAGGCACGAAAGCGUGGGGAGCAAACAGG